GCAUGGCCGGGGCGGCGCUGAUGGUGCUGAGGCUACAGUCCUUGAGGCGGCUGUCCCGGGUUCGAGUCCCGGACCCGGCGACA